UUAAGCGACUAAGCGUACACGGUGGAUGCCCUGGCAGUCAGAGGCGAUGAAGGACGUGCUAAUCUGCGAAAAGCGUCGGUAAGGUGAUAUGAACCGUUAUAACCGGCGAUGUCCGAAUGGGGAAACCCAGUGCAAUUCGUUGCACUAUCGUUAACUGAAUACAUAGGUUAACGAGGCGAACCGGGGGAACUGAAACAUCUAAGUACCCCGAGGAAAAGAAAUCAACCGAGAUUCCCCCAGUAGCGGCGAGCGAACGGGGAGCAGCCCAGAGUCUGAAUCAGCUUGUGUGUUAGUGGAACGGUCUGGAAAGUCCGACGGUACAGGGUGAUAGUCCCGUACACCAAAAUGCACAGGCUGUGAACUCGAAGAGUAGGGCGGGACACGUGGUAUCCUGUCUGAAUAUGGGGGGACCAUCCUCCAAGGCUAAAUACUCCUGACUGACCGAUAGUGAACCAGUACCGUGAGGGAAAGGCGAAAAGAACCCCGGCGAGGGGAGUGAAAAAGAACCUGAAACCGUGUACGUACAAGCAGUGGGAGCACCUUCGGGUGUGACUGCGUACCUUUUGUAUAAUGGGUCAGCGACUUAUAUUCUGUAGCAAGGUUAACCGUAUAGGGGAGCCGCAGGGAAACCGAGUCUUAACUGGGCGUUAAGUUGCAGGGUAUAGACCCGAAACCCGGUGAUCUAGCCAUGGGCAGGUUGAAGGUUGGGUAACACUAACUGGAGGACCGAACCGACUAAUGUUGAAAAAUUAGCGGAUGACUUGUGGCUGGGGGUGAAAGGCCAAUCAAACCGGGAGAUAGCUGGUUCUCCCCGAAAGCUAUUUAGGUAGCGCCUCGUGAACUCAUCUUCGGGGGUAGAGCACUGUUUCGGCUAGGGGGUCAUCCCGACUUACCAACCCGAUGCAAACUACGAAUACCGAAGAAUGUUAUCACGGGAGACACACGGCGGGUGCUAACGUCCGUCGUGAAGAGGGAAACAACCCAGACCGCCAGCUAAGGUCCCAAAGUCAUGGUUAAGUGGGAAACGAUGUGGGAAGGCACAGACAGCCAGGAUGUUGGCUUAGAAGCAGCCAUCAUUUAAAGAAAGCGUAAUAGCUCACUGGUCGAGUCGGCCUGCGCGGAAGAUGUAACGGGGCUAAACCAUGCACCGAAGCUGCGGCAGCGACACUAUGUGUUGUUGGGUAGGGGAGCGUUCUGUAAGCCUGCGAAGGUGUGCUGUGAGGCAUGCUGGAGGUAUCAGAAGUGCGAAUGCUGACAUAAGUAACGAUAAAGCGGGUGAAAAGCCCGCUCGCCGGAAGACCAAGGGUUCCUGUCCAACGUUAAUCGGGGCAGGGUGAGUCGACCCCUAAGGCGAGGCCGAAAGGCGUAGUCGAUGGGAAACAGGUUAAUAUUCCUGUACUUGGUGUUACUGCGAAGGGGGGACGGAGAAGGCUAUGUUAGCCGGGCGACGGUUGUCCCGGUUUAAGCAUGUAGGCUGAUUGUCCAGGCAAAUCCGGAUAAUCAAGGCUGAGGUGUGAUGACGAGGCACUACGGUGCUGAAGUAACAAAUGCCCUGCUUCCAGGAAAAGCCUCUAAGCAUCAGGUAACAUCAAAUCGUACCCCAAACCGACACAGGUGGUCAGGUAGAGAAUACCAAGGCGCUUGAGAGAACUCGGGUGAAGGAACUAGGCAAAAUGGUGCCGUAACUUCGGGAGAAGGCACGCUGGUGUGUAGGUGAAGUCCCUGCGGAUGGAGCUGAGACCAGUCGAAGAUACCAGCUGGCUGCAACUGUUUAUUAAAAACACAGCACUGUGCAAACACGAAAGUGGACGUAUACGGUGUGACGCCUGCCCGGUGCCGGAAGGUUAAUUGAUGGGGUUAUCCGUAAGGAGAAGCUCUUGAUCGAAGCCCCGGUAAACGGCGGCCGUAACUAUAACGGUCCUAAGGUAGCGAAAUUCCUUGUCGGGUAAGUUCCGACCUGCACGAAUGGCGUAAUGAUGGCCAGGCUGUCUCCACCCGAGACUCAGUGAAAUUGAACUCGCUGUGAAGAUGCAGUGUACCCGCGGCAAGACGGAAAGACCCCGUGAACCUUUACUAUAGCUUGACACUGAACAUUGAGCCUUGAUGUGUAGGAUAGGUGGGAGGCUUUGAAGCGUGGACGCCAGUCUGCGUGGAGCCAACCUUGAAAUACCACCCUUUAAUGUUUGAUGUUCUAACGUUGGCCCCUUACCGGGGUUGCGGACAGUGUCUGGUGGGUAGUUUGACUGGGGCGGUCUCCUCCCAAAGCGUAACGGAGGAGCACGAAGGUUAGCUAAUCCUGGUCGGACAUCAGGAGGUUAGUGCAAUGGCAUAAGCUAGCUUGACUGCGAGCGUGACGGCGCGAGCAGGUGCGAAAGCAGGUCAUAGUGAUCCGGUGGUUCUGAAUGGAAGGGCCAUCGCUCAACGGAUAAAAGGUACUCCGGGGAUAACAGGCUGAUACCGCCCAAGAGUUCAUAUCGACGGCGGUGUUUGGCACCUCGAUGUCGGCUCAUCACAUCCUGGGGCUGAAGUAGGUCCCAAGGGUAUGGCUGUUCGCCAUUUAAAGUGGUACGCGAGCUGGGUUUAGAACGUCGUGAGACAGUUCGGUCCCUAUCUGCCGUGGGCGCUGGAGAAUUGAGGGGGGCUGCUCCUAGUACGAGAGGACCGGAGUGGACGCAUCACUGGUGUUCGGGUUGUCAUGCCAAUGGCACUGCCCGGUAGCUAAAUGCGGAAGAGAUAAGUGCUGAAAGCAUCUAAGCACGAAACUUGCCCCGAGAUGAGUUCUCCCUGAGACUUUAAGUCUCCUGAAGGAACGUUAAAGACGAUGACGUUGAUAGGCCGGGUGUGUAAGCGCAGCGAUGCGUUGAGCUAACCGGUACUAAUGAACCGUGAGGCUUAACCUU
rnacentral:rRNA from 1 species